rnacentral:rRNA from 1 species
UACGGAGGGGGCUAGCGUUGUUCGGAAUUACUGGGCGUAAAGCGCGCGUAGGCGGCUUUGUAAGUUAGAGGUGAAAGCCCGGAGCUCAACUCCGGAAUUGCCUUUAAGACUGCAUCGCUAGAAUCCUGGAGAGGUGAGUGGAAUUCCGAGUGUAGAGGUGAAAUUCGUAGAUAUUCGGAAGAACACCAGUGGCGAAGGCGACUCACUGGACAUGUAUUGACGCUGAGGUGCGAAAGCGUGGGGAGCAAACAGG